rnacentral:rRNA from 1 species
AUUGAACGCUGGCGGCAGGCCUAACACAUGCAAGUCGAGCGGAGCGUCGGACGGGUGAGUACUGCCUAGGAAUCUGCCUGUUAGUGGGGUAUAACGUCCGGAAACGUGCGCUAAUACCGCAUACUAUCAGAUCAGCCUAGGUCGUAUUAGCUAGUUGGUGGGGUAAAGGCUCACCUAGGCGACGAUCCCUAGCUGGUCUGAGAGGAUGACCAGCCACACUGGAACUGAGACACGGUCCAGACUCCUACGGGAGGCAGCAGUGGGGAAUAUUGCACAAUGGGCGAAAGCCUGAUGCAGCCAUGCCGCGUGUAUGAAGAAGGCCUUCGGGUUGUAAAGUACUUUCAGCGGGGAGGCGUUACCCGCAGAAGAAGCACCGGCUAACUACGUGCCAGCCGCCGCGGUAAUUC